UAUUAGGUUGGUGCUAAAGUAAUUGCGGUUUUGGCCAUUGAAAGUAAUGUCAAAAACCGCAAUUACUUUAGCACCAACCUAAUA
rfam:Pan troglodytes isolate Yerkes chimp pedigree #C0471 (Clint) chromosome 7, whole genome shotgun sequence.